rnacentral:rRNA from 1 species
AAUCAACGCUGGCGGCGUGCCUCAGACAUGCAAGUCGUACGAUUAAACUUUCCUUCGGGAAAGAUAUAGAGUGGCGCACGGGUGAGUAACACGUAAGUAAUCUACCUUUGGGUGGGGAAUAACAACCGGAAACGGUUGCUAAUACCGCAUAAUGCAGCGGCUCGACAUCGAGACAGUUGUUAGAGCAUUUAUGCGCCUGAAGAGGAGCUUGCGGCAGAUUAGCUAGUUGGUAAGGUAAUGGCUUACCAAGGCAACGAUCUGUAGCCGACCUGAGAGGGUGGUCGGUCACACUGACACUGAAUAACGGGUCAGACUCCUACGGGAGGCAGCAGGUCGGGAAUUUUGGGCAAUGGGCGAAAGCCUGACCCAGCAACGCCGCGUGAAGGAUGAAGUAUUCGGUAUGUAAACUUACGUAAAAAUGGGAAGAAUCAAUGACGGUACCAUUUGUAAGGUCCGGCUAACUACGUGCCAGCCGCCGCCGU